AGGGUUUUGACCAGGCACCUGUGGUCAACGAGUCUGGGGCCAUCCUAGGGAUGGUGACUCUCGGGAACAUGUUGUCCUCCCUGCUUGCUGGGAAGGUGCGGCCAUCAGACGAAGUCUGCAAAGUCCUCUACAAGCAGUUCAAGCCGAUCCACCUGACCGACACACUGGGCAUGCUCUCCCACAUCCUGGAGAUGGACCACUUCGCCCUGGUGGUCCAUGAGCAGAUCCAAUGUGAGUGGAACCCCACUUUUGGUGCUGGGUUCUUUUUGGGUGGGGGGGCAGGAUGUCAAGCCCUGGACAUUGGCCAUGCCUGGCCCAGGCUCUCGUGGUAUGCAUGCGUGCUAUGUGCGGUAGCCAGACAUGCUCCCUAGUGGGUGAUGGGGAGUCCAUGGUCCUCGUCUUCCCACCGUAGCUUCUGACAUCCUGAGUCUCUCCCUGUGUGCCUGUUAAGUCUAGUCACGUGCCCAAAGGGCACCUCCUGCUCCAGUGAGUCCCCAUGUCACUUGUUUAAAUAGAAUAGAAUUAUACUAGACCCAUAGGCUAAGACAGCAGGCAGCCUGAAGGACGCUGGGGGACCAGUCUGACAGGAACUGGGGACAGCGGACAUUCUUGACCCUUGAUGACACUCCCCA
rnacentral:lncRNA from 1 species